rnacentral:rRNA from 1 species
UGGGUAACCUGCCCUGAUGAUUGGGACAACCCGAGGAAACUCGGGCUAAUACCGAAUGUGCCCUCUGGCCUCAAGGCCGCUGGGGAAAGGAAGCUUCGGCCUCCGCAUCGGGAUGGGCCCGCGGCCCAUUAGCUUGUUGGUGAGGUAAUGGCUCACCAAGGCUACGAUGGGUAGCUGGUCUGAGAGGACGAUCAGCCACACUGGGACUGAGACACGGCCCAG